rnacentral:rRNA from 1 species
CGUACACUCCUACGGGAGGCAGCAGUGAGGAAUAUUGGACAAUGGGUGGAAGCCUGAUCCAGCCAUCCCGCGUGCAGGAAGACGGCCCUAUGGGUUGUAAACUGCUUUUAUCUGGGGAUAAACCUACUUACGUGUAAGUAGCUGAAGGUACCAGAAGAAUAAGCACCGGCUAACUCCGUGCCAGCAGCCGCGGUAAUACGGAGGGUGCAAGCGUUAUCCGGAUGUAUUGGGUUUAAAGGGUCCGUAGGCGGACUGAUAAGUAAGUGGUGAAAUCCGACAGCUUAACUGUCGAACUGCCAUUGAUACUGUUAGUCUUGAGUAAGGUUGAAGUGGCUGGAAUAAGUAGUGUAGCGGUGAAAUGCAUAGAUAUUACUUAGAACACCAAUUGCGAAGGCAGGUCACUAAGUCUUAACUGACGCUGAUGGACGAAAGCGUGGGGAGCGAACAGGAUUAGAAACCCGUGUAAUCCCAUGA